UACGUAGGGUGCGAGCGUUAAUCGGAAUUACUGGGCGUAAAGCGUGCGCAGGCGGUUCUAUAAGACAGAUGUGAAAUCCCCGGGCUCAACCUGGGAACUGCAUUUGUGACUGUAGAGCUGGAGUGCGGCAGAGGGGGAUGGAAUUCCGCGUGUAGCAGUGAAAUGCGUAGAUAUGCGGAGGAACACCGAUGGCGAAGGCAAUCCCCUGGGCCUGCACUGGACGCUCAUGCACGAAAGCGUGGGGAGCAAACAGG
rnacentral:rRNA from 1 species